rnacentral:rRNA from 1 species
UCCAGACUCCUACGGGAGGCAGCAGUGGGGAAUAUUGCACAAUGGGGGAAACCCUGAUGCAGCGACGCCGCGUGAGUGAAGAAGUAUUUCGGUAUGUAAAGCUCUAUCAGCAGGGAAGAAAAUGACGGUACCUGACUAAGAAGCCCCGGCUAACUACGUGCCAGCAGCCGCGGUAAUACGUAGGGGGCAAGCGUUAUCCGGAUUUACUGGGUGUAAAGGGAGCGUAGACGGCAUGGCAAGUCAGAUGUGAAAUCCUGCGGCUUAACCGCAGAACUGCAUUUGAAACUGUUGAUCUUGAGUGCUGGAGAGGCAGACGGAAUUCCUAGUGUAGCGGUGAAAUGCGUAGAUAUUAGGAGGAACACCAGUGGCGAAGGCGGUCUGCUGGACAGCAACUGACGGUGAGGCGCGAAAGCGUGGGGAGCAAACAGGAUUAGAUACCCCAGUA